GGUGAACGCUGGCGGCGUGCCUAACACAUGCAAGUCGAGCGGUGCAGUUUGAAGCUUCGGUGGAAAGCUGCAUAGCGGCGGACGGGUGAGGAAAACGUAGGAACGUGCCCCUUGGAGUUGGAUAGCCACGGGAAACUGUGGGUAAACCGACAUAGACUCGAGAGAGUAAAGGCCGAAAGGCGCCAAGGGAGCGGCCUGCGGCCCAUCAGGUAGUUGGUAGUGUAAAGGACUACCAAGCCGACGACGGGUAGCCGGUCUGAGAGGAUGGCCGGCCACAAGGGCACUGAGAGACGGGCCCUACUCCUACGGGAGGCAGCAGUGGGGGAUUUGGACAAUGGGCGAAAGCCUGAUCCAGCGACGCCGCGUGGAGGACGAAGCCCUUCGGGGUGUAAACGUCCUUUUCUCAGGGAAAACGGAUGAUGGUACCUGAGGAAUAAGCCCCGGCGUAACUACGUG
rnacentral:rRNA from 1 species